GAGGCUCAUGAGUGCUCCCGGGCAAGCAGGCCGGUCACUCUUGCAGUGCCUACCCCCCCAUCUCUUUAUAGCACUUCUGUCUCUGUCUCCGAAAUCUCAAGGGAAGCGCCGGGUGACACACUGCAAAGCUUUUCUUUGAGCAUUUUCCCUUUUGCAUGCAUCCUAGCAUGGACUGCUGCUGAUUUUGUGUUCUUUACACUUGAAAAAAAUUGUCCAAUGUAAAAGAUACACAAAGACACAUUUUACAUUGUGAUAUAACAAACUAAUUUAAAUAUUGAAAGAUAUUUUAUGAAUUUUGAUACUGAAAUUGUAUAUACAGUGAACUCAAUAAAAAAUGUAAGUGGA